rnacentral:rRNA from 1 species
CAGUAGCCGCGGUAAAACCAGCAGCCCAAGUGGUGGUCGCGUUUAUUGGGCCUAAAGCGCUCGUAGCCUGGCCGGUAAGUUCCCCGUGAAAUCGGGUCGCCCAACGAUUCGGCUUGCGGGGAAUACUGUCGGUCUUGGGGCCGGGAGACGCCGAGGGUACUCCGGGGGUAGCGGUGAAAUGCUGUAAUCCUCGGGGGACUACCAGUGGCGAAGGCGCUCGGCGAUAACGGGCCUGACGGUGAGGGGCGAAAGCUGGGGGCGCAAACGGGAUUAGAGACCCCUGUAGUCCCUGUCUCUUAUA